rnacentral:rRNA from 1 species
UACGGGGGGGGCAAGCGUUGUUCGGAAUUACUGGGCGUAAAGGGCUCGUAGGCUGCCAACUAAGUCGGACGUGAAAUCCCUCGGCUUAACCGGGGAACUGCGUCCGAUACUGGAUGGCUUGAGUUUGGGAGAGGGAUGCGGAAUUCCAGGUGUAGCGGUGAAAUGCGUAGAUAUCGGGAAGAACACCAAAGGCGAAAGCGCUCUGCUGGGCCGAAACUGACACUGAGAGACGAAAGCUAGGGGAGCGAAUGGG